AGUGAACGCUGGCGGUAGGCCUAACACAUGCAAGUCGAACGGCAGCACAGUAAGAGCUUGCUCUUACGGGUGGCGAGUGGCGGACGGGUGAGGAAUACAUCGGAAUCUACUUUUUCGUGGGGGAUAACGUAGGGAAACUUACGCUAAUACCGCAUACGACCUACGGGUGAAAGCAGGGGAUCUUCGGACCUUGCGCGAUUGAAUGAGCCGAUGUCGGAUUAGCUAGUUGGCGGGGUAAAGGCCCACCAGGGCGACGAUCCGUAGCUGGUCUGAGAGGAUGAUCAGCCACACUGGAACUGAGACACGGUCCAGACUCCUACGGGAGGCAGCAGUAGGGAAUAUUGGACAAAGGGCGCAAGCCUGAUCCAGCCAUACCGCGUGGGUGAAGAAGGCCUUCGGGUUGUAAAGCCCUUUUGUUGGGAAAGAAAAGCAGCAGGUUAAUACCCCGCUGUUCUGACGGUACCCAAAGAAUAAGCACCGGCUAACUUCGUG
rnacentral:rRNA from 1 species